rnacentral:misc_RNA from 1 species
GAUGAAGAACGUAGCGAAAUGCGAUAAGUAAUGUGAAUUGCAGAAUUCAGUGAAUCAUCGAAUCUUUGAACGCACAUUGCGCCCCUUGGUAUUCCGAGGGGCAUGCCUGUUCGAGCGUCAUAUUAACCACUCCCGCUUGCGGGGUCUUGGGCUUCGCCUCCGGGCGGGCCUUAAAAUCAGUGGCGGUGCCGUCGGGCUCUACGCGUAGUAAAUUUUCUCGCGAUAGGGUCCCGGUGGAUGCUUGCCAACAACCCCCAACUUCAUAAGGUUGACCUCGGAUCAGGUAGGGAUACCCGCUGAACUUAAGCAUAUCAAUAAGCGGAGGA